rnacentral:lncRNA from 1 species
AUGACUAACACAAAGGGAAAGAGAAGCACCUAAUACAUGUUCUCUAGGUCUUUUAGGAAACCUGGAGUUGUUCCUUUGGCCACAUACAUGCAAAGCUGUAAGAUGAUAUUGUAGACAUUGAGAGAAUGGAUACUGUUCAAAAAGGAAUACCCCACAAAUGUUACCAUGGCAAAACUGAAGAGUCUACAGUGUUACCUAGCAUGCUAUUGGCCUUGUUGUAAACAAACAAGAGCAAGAUUCUUGCCAAGAGAAUUAAUCUGCCUAUUGAGCACAUUAAGCAUUCUAAGAGCUGACAUAGCUUCCUGAAAAGUGUGAAGGAAAAUGAUCAGAAAAAGAAGAAAGCCAAAGAGAAAGGUACCUGGGUUCAGAUGAAGCACCAGCCACUCCACCCAAACACACUUUGUGAGAACCAAUGAAUAGGAGCCUGAGCUGCUGGAAUCUAUCCCUAUGAAUUCGUGGCAUAA